rnacentral:tRNA from 1 species
GCGUCUGUAGCCUAGUUGGUAAAGGCAGCACUCUAGAUGCUGAGGUCAUGGGUUCAACUUCCAUCAGACACA